AAGUUGCUCAGGAGGCCUGGCCCAGUAGAAAAGUGAAGUGAAAACAAGAAUUCCUAGAACAGAAGCUACAACCCUUCCUUCUCCACGUGCUCCGAGGACAGAAUCUCCCCUGGUGGACGAUGAGGACUUACAAGACGAGCCUCUGCAGAUCACAGUUCUCGACCACGACACCUACAGUGCCAAUGACGCCAUUGGCAAAGUGUACAUCGACAUCGACCCUCUGCUGUACAGUGAAGCUGCCACAGUCAUCUCAGGGUGGUUUCCUAUUUAUGACACCAUCCACGCAACAUCUACCCCAAAGUGCUAUCGAGCUGUGCUGAUUCAUGGCUUUGUAGAAGAGCUUGUGGUCAAUGAAGACCCUGAAUACAAUGGAUUGAUCGCAUUCGCACCCCAAGGGCAUCAAAUGAG